rnacentral:rRNA from 1 species
GAUGAACGCUGGCGGCGUGCCUAAUACAUGCAAGUCGAGCGAACACACGAGGAGCUUGCUCCUCUGACGUUAGCGGCGGACGGGUGAGUAACACGUGGAUAACCUACCUAUAAGACUGGCAUACUUUCGGGAAACCGGAGCUAAUACCCGAUAAUAUAUCUAACCGCAUGGUUCCAUAGUGAAACACGGUUUUGCUGUCACUUAUAGCCGAAUCCGCGCCCCAUUAGCUAGUUGGUAAGGUAACGGCUUACCAAGGCAACGACGCGUAACCGACCUGAGAGAGUGAUAGCCCACACUGGAACUGAGACACGGUACAGACACCUACGGGAGGCAGAAGUAGGGAAUCUUCCGCGACGGGCGAACGCGUGACGGAGUAAAGCCGCGUGAGUGAUGAAGGUGUUCGGAUCGUAAAACUAUGUUGUUAGGGAAGAAGAAAAGUGUAAGUAACUGUGUAGAUCUUGACGGUACCUGAAGAAAAAGCCACGGCUAACUACGUG